UGUUGAGCAUUGCUGGACAUUUUGGUUCAGCUUGCUUUAAAUUUAUGAGCAGGCUCCUACCACUUCGGACUGACUCAAUGUGAUAGAAAAAAUUUCAUUGAGGACGCUGUACAAAGCGGCCGGAUUGUAGGGCAAUGCCGCUACUAGUUGACCUUUAUAUUUUAGACCUCAAAUCAGGUGGGACUACCCGCUGAACUUAA
rnacentral:misc_RNA from 1 species